rnacentral:rRNA from 1 species
UACGUAGGGGGCAAGCGUUGUCCGGAUUUAUUGGGCGUAAAGAGCGUGUAGGCGGCCAAGCAGGUCCGCUGUGAAAACUCGAGGCUCAACCUCGAGACGUCGGUGGAAACCGUUUGGCUAGAGUCCGGAAGAGGAGAGUGGAAUUCCCGGUGUAGCGGUGAAUGCGCAGAUAUCGGAAGGAACGAACCAUGCCGUAGGCGGCAGCUCGUGGACGUCUG